rnacentral:rRNA from 1 species
AUUUUGACUGUGCAAAGGUAGCAUAAUCAUUAGUCUUUUAAUUAAGGACUGGUAUGAAUGGUUUAACGAAAUAUUAACUGUCUCAUAAUAAUAAUAUAGAAUUUAACUUUUAAGUCAAAAGGCUUAAAUAGAGUUAGAGGACGAGAAGACCCUAUAGAGCUUUAUAUUUAUACUUUUAAAUUUUAUUUAGAUGUUUAUAAUUUUUAAAUUUUAAAAUAUUUUAUUGGGGUGAUAGGAAGAUGAAAAUAACUCUUUUAAUUAAUUGAACAUUAAUUUAUGAAUAAUUGAUCCAUUAAUAAUGAUUAAAAGAUUAAGUUACCUUAGGGAUAACAGCGUAAUGUUUUUUGAGAGUUCUUAUCAACAAAAAAGAUUGCGACCUCGAUGUUGGAUUAAGGAAAAGGUUGGG